rnacentral:pre_miRNA from 1 species
CGUGCACCAGUGGGGUCCCUCAGCCUGGCCUGCACCUUCUCGUAAUCUGGGACCCCUCAAGGGGAUGUCAGAGAGCCAGUUUUGGCUCAAUCUUGCAGGCCAGGCUGAGGGACCCCACUGGUGCAUG